rnacentral:rRNA from 1 species
GACGAACGCUGGCGGCGUGCUUAACACAUGCAAGUCGAACGGAAAGGCCCUGCUUUUGUGGGGUGCUCGAGUGGCGAACGGGUGAGUAACACGUGAGUAACCUGCCCUUGACUUUGGGAUAACUUCAGGAAACUGGGGCUAAUACCGGAUAGGAGCUCCUGCUGCAUGGUGGGGGUUGGAAAGUUUCGGCGGUUGGGGAUGGACUCGCGGCUUAUCAGCUUGUUGGUGGGGUAGUGGCUUACCAAGGCUUUGACGGGUAGCCGGCCUGAGAGGGUGACCGGCCACAUUGGGACUGAGAUACGGCCCAGACUCCUACGGGAGGCAGCAGUGGGGAAUAUUGCACAAUGGGCGGAAGCCUGAUGCAGCAACGCCGCGUGCGGGAUGACGGCCUUCGGGUUGUAAACCGCUUCCGCCUGUGACGAAGCGUGAGUGACGGUAAUGGGUAAAGAAGCACCGGCUAACUACGUGCCAGCAGCCGCGGUGAUACGUAGGGUGCGAGCGUUGUCCGGAUUUAUUGGGCGUAAAGGGCUCGUAGGUGGUUGAUCGCGUCGGAAGUGUAAUCUUGGGGCUUAACCCUGAGCGUGCUUUCGAUACGGGUUGACUUGAGGAAGGUAGGGGAGAAUGGAAUUCCUGGUGGAGCGGUGGAAUGCGCAGAUAUCAGGAGGAACACCAGUGGCGAAGGCGGUUCUCUGGGCCUUUCCUGACGCUGAGGAGCGAAAGCGUGGGGAGCGAACAGGCUUAGAUACCCUGGUAGUCCACGCUGUAAACGGUGGGUACUAGGUGUGGGGUCCAUUCCACGGGUUCCGUGCCGUAGCUAACGCUUUAAGUACCCCGCCUGGGGAGUACGGCCGCAAGGCUAAAACUCAAAGGAAUUGACGGGGCCCCGCACAAGCGGCGGAGCAUGCGGAUUAAUUCGAUGCAACGCGUAGAACCUUACCUGGGUUUGACAUGGAUCGGGAGCGCUCAGAGAUGGGUGUGCCUCUUUUGGGGUCGGUUCACAGGUGGUGCAUGGCUGUCGUCAGCUCGUGUCGUGAGAUGUUGGGUUAAGUCCCGCAACGAGCGCAACCCUUGUUCACUGUUGCCAGCACGUUAUGGUGGGGACUCAGUGGAGACCGCCGGGGUCAACUCGGAGGAAGGUGGGGAUGACGUCAAGUCAUCAUGCCCCUUAUGUCCAGGGCUUCACGCAUGCUACAAUGGCUGGUACAGAGAGUGGCGAGCCUGUGAGGGUGAGCGAAUCUCGGAAAGCCGGUCUCAGUUCGGAUUGGGGUCUGCAACUCGACCUCAUGAAGUCGGAGUCGCUAGUAAUCGCAGAUCAGCAACGCUGCGGUGAAUACGUUCCCGGG